rnacentral:tRNA from 1 species
GGAUAGAUAGUUCAGCUGCUAGAACACAGGAUUUGCACACCUGUAGCUUCCAAUUCAAUCCC